rnacentral:rRNA from 1 species
GACGAACGCUGGCGGCGUGGAUUAGGCAUGCAAGUCGAACGGUAUCAUCCUUUCGGGGGUGAGAGAGUGGCGAACUGGUGAGUAACACGUAGGUUAUCUACCCUCAAGACGGGGACAACCCAGGGAAACUUGGGCUAAUACCGGAUGUGAGCAACUUUUAGUUGUUUGAAAGGUGGCGUAAGCUGUCGCUUGGGGAUGAGCCCGCGUCCUAUUAGUUAGUUGGUGAGGUAACGGCUCACCUAGGCAAUGAUAGGUAGGCGGCCUUAACGGGUGGUCGCCCACACUGGGAUUGAGAUACGGCCCAGACUCCUACGGGAGGCAGCAGUCGAGAAUAGUCUACAAUGGUCGGAAGACUGAUAGUGCGACGCCGCGUGAACGAUGAAUCCCUUCGGGGUGUAAAGUUCUUUUAUAUGUGAGCAGUGCUUCUUAUAUUAACAGUAUGGGGAGAGAGAUAUUAGCAUAUGAAUAAGCAACGGCUAACUCCGUGCCAGCAGCCGCGGUAAAAUCACG